rnacentral:misc_RNA from 1 species
GAUGAAGAACGUAGCGAAAUGCGAUAAGUAAUGUGAAUUGCAGAAUUCAGUGAAUCAUCGAAUCUUUGAACGCAUCUUGCGCUCCUUGGUAUUCUGAGGAGCAUGCCUGUUUGAGUGUCAUUAAAUUCUCAACUACACUGACUUUGAAUUGGUGUGGCUUGGAUUUGGGGGGAAAAUUGUUGUGGGCUUUUUGUAUAGUCUGCUCCCCGGAAAUUGAUUAGCGGUACCUUUGUGGAACUGUCUACAGGUGUGAUAAUUAUCUACAUCUUAGACAUCUGCUGGAAUGCUGCUUUCUAAACCUUACUUGUAUUGACAAUCUUGACCUCAAAUCAGGUAGGACUACCCGCUGAACUUAAGCAUAUCAAUAAGCGGAGGA